rnacentral:rRNA from 1 species
GGAUGUGAUCAUACCGACACUAAUGCACCGGAUUCCAUCAGAACUUUAACUUUAAGCGUGCUUGGGCGAGAAGGCGAGAGUAGUACUAGGAUGGGUGACCCCCUCAAAAGUCCUCGUGUUGCAUCCC